ACAAUGUCAUCCAGGAUAAUUUUAUAUAAGGCUUUGAUUUUGAUGAUCUAAAGGCAUUUCAAUUACAAAUACCAAUCAUCAGGAAUUCCACCGGACCUGCAUAUUUGUUGGAGAACAGCUAGAGGAUGGUAGAUUACACCAUCCAGAAAGAGUCUACUCUUUUCAUUUCGUGUUGACGCUUAAUUGAACUAUCUUUGAUGGCGUUAGCGAGGAAAUACAACCAGGAUAAAACCAUCUGCCGCAACUUCUUCAACUGUUAAUUAAAGGAUUUAAGAUUUAAGAUGAAGAGAAGAGAAGAGAAGAGAAACAACACCAUGGUUUUAGUUACA